AACGUAGGUGGCAAGCGUUGUCCGGAAUUACUGGGUGUAAAGGGAGCGCAGGCGGGCUAAUAAGUUGAAUGUGAAAACUGGGGGCUUAACCCCCAGACUGCGUUCAAAACUAUUGGUCUUGAGUGAUGGAGAGGCAGGCGGAAUUCCCGGUGUAGCGGUGGAAUGCGUAGAUAUCGGGAGGAACACCAGUGGCGAAGGCGGCCUGCUGGACAUUAACUGACGCUGAGGCUCGAAAGUGUGGGGAGCAAACAGG
rnacentral:rRNA from 1 species